rnacentral:lncRNA from 1 species
AAAGUGACCUUUUAUUUCAGAAACUAUCUGGACCUUACUAAAGAGACUGCCUCCAAAGAAUCUAGGCCACAUUUUUGGGGUUUGGAGGAUGCUUUGUCCCUCAAGUAGAGAAGAAGUGAUCCCAGAAGUGUUUCUUCCACCUAAGACAACACUGGAGGAUUUAUUGAGAUAUUGCUGGCAGUACCUGGCCUAAAAAGACCAGAAAAAUGGAAGACCCAAAUAAGGAUGAUGGAAUGGAAACACCAAGAAUGCAAUGAGCGCAAAUUUUAUCACAAAGAGAGAAGUGUCUUUUUAAAGUUAGCAAGGAUGAUCCUGUCUUCUCAUCCUGCUGCCUCUCAAACCCUUGGUCAGCUCUUUAGAAUUUCUCUCUAGCUUCCCUUUCCU